rnacentral:rRNA from 1 species
AACGAACGCUGGCGGCAUGCCUAACACAUGCAAGUCGAACGAGACCUUCGGGUCUAGUGGCGCACGGGUGCGUAACGCGUGGGAACCUGCCCUUAGGUUCGGAAUAACUCCCCGAAAGGUGUGCUAAUACCGGAUAAUGUCUUCGGACCAAAGAUUUAUCGCCUUUGGAUGGGCCCGCGUUGGAUUAGCUAGUUGGUAGGGUAAAAGCCUACCAAGGCGACGAUCCAUAGCUGGUCUGAGAGGAUGAUCAGCCACACUGGGACUGAGACACGACCCAGACUCCUACGGGAGGCAGCAGUGGGGAAUAUUGGACAAUGGGCGAAAGCCUGAUCCAGCAAUGCCGCGUGAGUGAUGAAGGCCUUAGGGUUGUAAAGCUCUUUUACACGGGAUGAUAAUGACAGUACCGGGAGAAUAAGCUCCGGCUAACUACGUG